rfam:Jatropha curcas cultivar GZQX0401 scaffold537_54, whole genome shotgun sequence.
UUGCUAUGAUGAGUAGCAGAAACUCAUGAAAGUUUGCAUAAUAAUUGCUUGAUGAAAUGCAAUCCUGAGCGGUUACCUGAGCAC